CUGAGCUGAAAUCAGGCUGUGAUGGGACCUGGAAAUUAGAACUGGCAGAGAAAUAGUUCAGAUGCAAUCUUCAUCUGUAAGAAUCUAAAAUUAAAAUAGUAUAUUCAUGGCCCGGGCUGUAUAUCAUCAGUACUAGGAAACUCUCAUCAGCUGCAGAUGGGAAAGAACAUGUGAUCUGGAAUUAGAACACAGAAGCCAACUUGGUUGGUACCUCAUCAAUGGAUAUAUUCCCAGAUAUCAAAAUCUUAUCAAAACGUGAGGUUCCACUCAUGAGGUUCUGAGCAGAAAAUCCAAACUUCUGACUUGAGAUGCACAUUGUGAACUGCAAUAGAUUUGCAAAUAAUGGAGAUUCGGUUCUAGUUUCCGGAGAGAGAAAAUGAAAAAAAAAAACUGACGAAAGUAGUUGAUGAGGGGAGUUGGCCCACUGAGGUGAAAUCUCCGUUUGCAUCUUUUUAAAUCCUAAAUUCCAUUUAAAUAUUAUUCAAGAUAUAAUGACCUGAAAUAAAGAUUAAACUUUUAAAAGUA